rnacentral:lncRNA from 1 species
GAGUUAAAAGACCCAAUCUAGGAAAUUAAAUUCCAAAAAUUGUAUUUGAAUUAACUAGGAAAGUUUUAGCAGUCUUUUCUAGACCAUUUGAAAGCCCUAUAAAGUAAUUCUGUAAUGUGAUUUAAAAAGUGUCUUAGAGUCAUGUGGAAUGCACCAAAUCAGCCCGUACUCUGGCAGCAAUCCAUUGGACACCCCUCCACUUCUCUGUACAACCACCUGGUUCCACACUGCAAAGAUGCAGAGGACACCGGACCACCAGACCACUGUAGUGGGAGCUGGCCAUUCCACCACUCCUAGGACAGAGGAGGUGAGCCAAUCCUAGCACCCGGGAGGAGGCUCCCUGCCGCCAUUCCACCACUCCUAGGGCAGAGGAAGUGAGCCACAUGGGGACCAGCAGCAGCCCCUCAAUCUGUGGAAAUGAGAAGACACAUAAACAAACCUCAAAAACAGACUUCCAGGUCACCAACAGCAAUCCCAAAGGGAAACGAGAUGGAAAAAUCUGAUACUCAAACACUUGGACUCCCUGAACUGGCAACAAAAGAGGAUCUGGAAAAAAUGAAAUGAGAAAGAAUUUCUCAGAUAACAGCAAAGAUUGUGCCCAUAGUGUAAGACAUGAUUAAUAAAUCUAGAGAGGACAGAGAUUAAAAAAAAUAGAGGAGCUGAGGAACAUGAUGGAAUCCCAGCAUAGGAAACAAAUGGAAUCCAUAAAACAGAUGCAAACAGAUUUCCAGGAGAUUAAAAACUCCAUUGAAAGUCUACUCAGCAGAAUGAACA